ACGAAUAAAUGCUGAAGGAUGUUGCUGGCCCUGUCUCGGGGCAGGUGCACUCCUCAGAUAAUUCUUUUGUCCUCACCUUUCACAAACCAUGUGCACCCUCUGUAGGUUUGACACGUUCUGACCUAUGUUUUUGUCAUUUGCAUCCGGAAUGUUGUUCGAAUGUUUCUGAUUCUUUUGAAUAAAUAUA
rnacentral:misc_RNA from 1 species